UACGUAGGUGGCGAGCGUUGUCCGGAUUUACUGGGCGUAAAGGGAGCGUAGGCGGACUUUUAAGUGAGAUGUGAAAUACCUGGGCUUAACUUGGGUGCUGCAUUUCAAACUGGAAGUCUAGAGUGCAGGAGAGGAGAAUGGAAUUCCUAGUGUAGCGGUGAAAUGCGUAGAGAUUAGGAAGAACACCAGUGGUGAAGGCGAUUCUCUGGACUGUAACUGACGCUGAGGCUCGAAAGCGUGGGGAGCAAACAGGAUUAGAUACCCU
rnacentral:rRNA from 1 species